UAUGCUCAGAUUGAGGGAGCGGUUUUGUCUCAAAAAUUCAACACGUUCCACGCUGGUCUGAAACUAGCAGGUCAGGCGGCGGUUUUUGGCCCACUUUGUUUGAAACCGUUUGUUUUCUGCCCACCCUACUUCUCUUCGCUUUUCCCCUUCUUUCCGAAGGGCUGCGGCCUUCUGGAGCUGACUCAGGCGAGAGGCUUCCAGACCCAAAUAGGGGUCACACCUGCUGCCGGGAGAGGCCUCUGCAUAAGAAUGCUCUUUAAAUUUUUUAAAAAGCAGCAUAAUAGCCAGUGGACUUAGCAAAGCGUGACUUGCCCAGGCCGCGCGGAGGAGGGCAGCCCUGCAGUCAUCUGUGACUCGACCACCAGUUAACGUCCUGGACGUGCCUGUUCGCGGACGUAUUAGCAAACGUUUCAAGGAUGUGGCUGUCAGAUGUCAUUAGCCAACGCAUUUAACUGGGAGGAGGGCACGGCCAGGGCGACUAUGCAUAGAGUGUUCUGGGGAGGUCAGAGUCUCCCCUCUGGAACAGUCACGUGCCCCUUCCCGUACAAAUGUUUAUCAAAUGACGGGAGAAGCUGGCCCAUGAACAGUGGGGUACAGAGGCGUGGAAGGGGAGCAUGCAGGUCUUUCUGGGGGAACUCAGACCCAGAUAAGACCCGUGUACUGCGCAGAUUGAGGGGGACGAUCGGAUCGAGUCAACCCAAUGAGUUCUAGCGCUCCCCGUGUGAACCCUCCGGUCCUGAAGGCUAGAACCUAGCGUCCGGAUGCACAAUUAGAAGCUGGAGCUUGGAAAUACCUGACUCCCUGGAAGUGGCCGUUCAAGUGGGCAAAAUUGCCUCUAACAUAGCUGAAGACUGGAGGCCUUUGAUGCAAAUCUGGCUGAUGUAACUCGAUUACGAAGCGCAACAGUUUGAGUACGGUGCCCACGCUGUGCUUGACACGUGACCACAGAAGAGAAGAGAAAAUUCUACGUGCACCCAUGCCCCAGUUUGCUGAAGGUAGCUUGUGUAUCACUGAGAAACCAUCUGGCCACUUGUGAAGCCAGGCGCCCAGAGACAUGAUUACCACUGUGUUGAUGAGUUAAAAGAACGAUGUCUUGCACCAAGUGUGUGCAUAUCUCAAGACUACAGACCUGACUACAGCAAUAUGUCUACAGCAGAAGAAAGCAAUACUCUAAUUAAUGUGCAUCUCAUUUGCACUUCUGUUGCCAAAGCUAAUCAUUGUUUAAUUCAAGGUGGAUGUCCUCUCCAUCAGUGCACCAUCCAGUUGAGAAAGAAACAAAAUCUUUAAGAAAGACCCCGCUGUAUAGACUAUCCAAGGGUUGCUAUAAAGUGUGCUAUAGACCUUUGUGAAGACGACGUGACAUAUAGCUGGGUAAAUUAAUCUUUGAAAAAAAAACUUUAGAAAAAGAGCACAGGAACUGUAGGACACAUGAAAAAAGAAGAGAGUGUGGUGAAUAAGGGAAGUGUGGGUUCAGAGGAAAGGAAAAAAGAAUGAAGACUUUCUCUAUGGGAUGCUUCCCAGAAGCAGACAACAGUGAGAAAAGACUGUUCUGCGGAGAGAUGGUAAGAAGUAGGAAUUCGGGGUGAGGGGCAGGGAGGGCAAAUCCAGAUUGCUGCAGGUGCUGGGCAGAAGAGGUGGGCAGACUGCAGAAGGCUGCGUUCGUUAGAAGGCUCGGCGGCGUGGAUGAGAGAGACAAGCAUGGCAUCUUUCAUUAAGCCUUUCUGGAUCCUCUCCCCCCACUUUGCACUGGACUUUCUCUAAAUCCUUCUGCACUUAACGAAGCAAUGCUUUAUUAUUUUAGAAAAGCAUUUCCAAAGCUUGCCCAACCAGAAGUUUCACUGGGCACUUAUUAAAAAUACAGAUUCCCAGCCUCCACCUACAUGUGGCGAUUUGGACUCUCCAAUGGCUGCACCUGGAAAUGUGUAUUUUUAUACAAGAAAUCCAAGUAAUUCUCAUGAUGGGGUAACUUUGGGAAGUGCAGUAUCAACACAUGAAGUCAUAUCAUAAGGUUGCCUCUUCUGCCAAUGAAUUAAAUAUUCUAGGCUUUGCUUAUCCAAGAAUUAAAUACU